rnacentral:rRNA from 1 species
UACGUAGGUGGCAAGCGUUGUCCGGAAUUACUGGGUGUAAAGGGAGCGUAGGCGGGAAGGCAAGUCGAUUGUCUAAACUAUGGGCUCAACCCAUAGUCGCGAUCGAAACUGUCUUUCUUGAGUGAAGUAGAGGUAAGCGGAAUUCCUAGUGUAGCGGUGAAAUGCGUAAAUAUUAGGAGGAACACCAGUGGCGAAGGCGGCUUACUGGGCUUUAACUGACGCUGAGGCUCGAAAGCGUGGGUAGCAAACAGG